GCGGAAGUGGCGGAAUUGGUAGACGCACCAGAUUUAGGUUCUGGCGCCGCAAGGUGUGCGAGUUCAAGUCUCUCCUUCCGCACCA
rnacentral:tRNA from 1 species